rnacentral:rRNA from 1 species
UUGGAGGGCAAGUCUGGUGCCAGCAGCCGCGGUAAUUCCAGCUCCAAUAGCGUAUAUUAAAGUUGUUGCAGUUAAAAAGCUCGUAGUUGAACUUCGGGGUCUACCCAUUGGUCAGGCUUAAUUGUCUGUACUGGUGAGAUGGAUCUCUACCUUCUGAGGAACUUUCAUGCCAUUUAUUUGGUGUGGUUGGAAAUCAGGACUGUUACUUUGAAAAAAUUAGAGUGUUUAAAGCAGACUAUCGUCUGAAUACAUUAGCAUGGGAUAAUGAAAUAGGACGGACUGAUUCUAUUUCGUUGGUUUCUAGGAUCACCGUAAUGAUUAAUAGGGAUAGUUGGGGGCAUUAGUAUUCAAUUGUCAGAGGUGAAAUUCUUGGAUUUAUUGAAGACUAACUACUGCGAAAGCAUUUGCCAAGGAUGUUUUCAUUAAUCAAGAACGAAAGUUAGGGGAUCGAAGACGAUCAGAUACCGUCGUAGUCUUAACCAUAAACUAUGCCGACUAGGGAUCGGAUGAUGUUAAUUUUUUAAUGUCUCAUUCGGCGCCUUACGGGAAACCAAAGUGUUUGGGUUC